AGAUCAUUUUGAGGACAACUCCUAAGAAACCCUUUGUAUCUCUCCCAUGCUUCAUAUAAGGACUCUCUGACUUCUUGUUGAAAAUUAGCAAUCUUAUUCUUUAGCUU